rnacentral:rRNA from 1 species
UACGAAGGGGGCUAGCGUUGCUCGGAAUCACUGGGCGUAAAGGGUGCGUAGGCGGGUCUUUAAGUCAGGGGUGAAAUCCUGGAGCUCAACUCCAGAACUGCCUUUGAUACUGAAGAUCUUGAGUUCGGGAGAGGUGAGUGGAACUGCGAGUGUAGAGGUGAAAUUCGUAGAUAUUCGCAAGAACACCAGUGGCGAAGGCGGCUCACUGGCCCGAUACUGACGCUGAGGUGCGAAAGCGCGGGGAGCAAACAGG